UGCUGUUGCGGAACUACACACAUCGAAGCACUGCUUUAACAUCAUAUAAUAGUCCGUGUGCCAAAUUAAUCCGGCUGCCCACUUACAUUUUUGACCAAAGGGUCAGUUACGGAAUCAAAUAUUUUCACUCUGAAAUAUUUUUCAACGCAGUAAAGAAAUCUGCUCCGGUGUUGGGGUUUGAGUUCGGCCCCUGAACCACUUAUUUAUGCUACUGUUGUGUAUGUGUAGCGAAUGACUACAUAAUGUAUCAGUGAUGUAGUGAGUCCCGUGCCAGAACCUCCCGGACUUUAUUUACCUCCUUGGUAGAAACAUACAUACACAGCUCUGUGUGUAUGUAUGUUUCUACCAAGGAGUCUUACCGCCUCAACCUCCACCACUUCUACCACAACCACCACCACGGCUCGCUGAUGGAUUCCCUUGGAACAUCGACCCCCUUUUUCUUUUUUGACCUGUUUUGGUCUCUUUAUCUGACCCCUUACCUCUGGCUAUUUUACACGGGAUUACCAGCAGGCGCCGGCCAUGGGCAAUGCAGCGACGGCAAAGAAAGAGGAUCCAGCCGAAAACGGGCUAGAAAAUACUUCUUGCCUGAACUGUUCUUUAUGAAUGUGGAUUUUACCAAACAAGUAACUCAGUGCUAUUAUUCACAAGCCAAGUCCAUAUUGAGAAGUGGUUGAUCAUAGAAAAGGCAUCCAACCACAGAAACCGUGACAAAAAUGGGAUGUAUGAUGAAGGUAAGCUUUACAAGCUGCAUUGUGGGUUACCUGUUUAGAAGGGCAAUGACUCCAAUUAAGAACUGGUACAGGUAGUUGUCGGAGCACUGCAUCCUUCAAAACUUCCAUGCUUCCUGAGAUUCGCCAACACUACACCUGAUUUUCUCUCCUCCAUACACACGCAAGCAUGUAUCUGACUCAUACACUGUUCA